rnacentral:rRNA from 1 species
GACGAACGCUGGCGGCGUGGAUUAGGCAUGCAAGUCGGACGGUAGGGCUUUAUCGUAAGAUAGAGUUUGAGAGUGGCGAACGGGUGAGUAACACGUAGGAAUCUACCCUUAAGACGGGGACAACCCAGGGAAACUUGGGCUAAUACCGGAUGAGAGUGCGAGAGAUUGCAUUUAAAAGGAUGGCGAAAGUUGUCGCUUAGGGAUGAGCCUGCGGUCUAUUAGUUAGUUGGUGAGGCAAGAGCUCACCAAGGCGAUGAUAGAUAGGCGGCCUUAACGGGUGGUCGCCCACACUGGGAUUGAGAUACGGCCCAGACUCCUACGGGAGGCAGCAGUCGAGAAUAGUCUACAAUGGCCGGAAGGCUGAUAGUGCGACGCCGCGUGAACGAGGGAGCCCUUCGGGGUGUAAAGUUCUUUUCUAUACGAGCAGUGCUAUAUAUAUGGAUAGUAUAUAUAGAGGGAUAGUAGUAUAGGAAUAAGCAACGGCUAACUCCGUGCCAGC